UGCUAAACCCGAUAGAAGUGAAGAUACUUUUUGCUGCAGAUCUUGGACGAGCUCAAACUGACAAUCAUAAAAAGAUUGAAACGAAUAGCGGGACUGGUU
rnacentral:sRNA from 1 species